rnacentral:rRNA from 1 species
UAAAUUGAGAGUUUGAUCCUGGCUCAGGAUGAACGCUGGCGGCGUGCUUAACACAUGCAAGUCGAGCGAUGAAGUUUCCUUCGGGAAACGGAUUAGCGGCGGACGGGUGAGUAACACGUGGGUAACCUGCCUCAUAGAGUGGAAUAGCCUU